GUUGUCGUGGCCGAGUGGUUAAGGCGAUGGACUAGACAUUUUUUGGGAUCUUCCCGCGCAGGUUCGAAUCCUGCCGACAUCG
rnacentral:tRNA from 1 species